AGGACAAACGCUGGCGGAAUGUAUUAGGCAUGCAAGUCGUACGAACCUUCGGGUUAGUGGCGAACGGGUGAGUAACACGUGGGUGACCUGCCUCGUAGUGGGGAAUAACUCGCCGAAAGGCGAGCUAAUACCGCAUAACACCUCUGGUGAGAUUCCAGAUGGUAAAAGCUCCGGCGCUACGAGAGGGGCCCGCGGUCGAUUAGCUAGUUGGUGGGUAACGGCCUACCAAGGCGACGAUCGAUAGC
rnacentral:rRNA from 1 species